UUUAUUAUAAUUAUUGGUGAUUAAUUAACUAUUUAUUUGGACUUUAAUAAGAAUAAAUAGUAUUUUAGUAAAUUUUACGUAAAAAUGUGUUGUAUGAAUUCAUGUUUUACGUUAAGAAUGUUUGUUUGAGUCCAUGCAAUAUGUUUGUGUGAAUCUAAAUAAUAAAUGCUUAUGUAUGGUGUGUCAUGCAAGUAAAAUGGACCUAUGUGUUACGUAUUUUUACGUAAGUUUCUGUAUGAGUUUAGAGAUUCGUACUUGAAUGUAUUUUGAGUGUAUUGUUGUGUUAAUGAAUGUCUAGGAUCUUGUUCUCAACAAGGAAAUUCGUUGAGGUGCUCGAGGUAGCAAGUGUGGUCUUAGCAACUGAGGUAAGGGUAAGGCUAAGCAGUGAGAAUGAAGAGCUCGAGGCGUGGACCGCAUGUUAGGGGGCUGGCACAGUAUUUUGCUUUUAAUGUUUUUAACUGCUAAACAUUUUGGAACUAUUAUUUUGACUUAACUAGUUUUAUUUAAGUUUACAGUACUAAAAGUAUUUUGUUUUAAACAAUGAGAUCUCAUGCUUGGAUAUUUUUCAAUAAAGCAGUAUUUGAUUGUCUUUAUCUUAUUAAAUUAUUUUA